rnacentral:tRNA from 1 species
CCUUCGGUGGCUCAGUGGUUUCAGAGCAAAGAGAAAAGAUAAGCAUUCUUCGUCGCUGGUUCGACUCCAGCCCGAAGGU